CCGGGGGUGAUGCCGCGCCGGGGACGCCGCUCUCUCCGGAGCGAAGAUCAGCAGCUGGACUGACAAACGAGUGGGAGAGGGGAGGGUAGCUGGUGCCACGGAUCUGGUUACCUCACUGAAACAGGUGCAGCAGAAAGAAUCCUUAUCAAGAAGAGAAACCAAAGUGAUUUGAUGCACAGGCCUUCUUCCUUCAGUACUGCAGCUCAUUGGAAGAUCCAUGUUGACAGCCCAGGUAAGGUUUUCUUCAGCUUCACAAACCCACUAUUCCCAGACUGCUGCCAAAAGGAGCUCAUCCUUACAGUCCCACACCUGCCCUCAAUGCAGUGGGGAGACAGGAACCAACAGAUCACCACUGCAGAAGUGGCCAAGCAUGUGCUCCCCAGCAGGAGAAUUAACAGCACAGGUCUAGAUGGAGUUCAAGGAGCAAGCUCCCACAAGGAGCUGUGCAGGACAUUGUCCCAGAGCAUCUGGGUGAGAUCACCCAGCAGGGCACCACACUAAGUGCUCCUGGCUGCACAUAGAAGGAGCAGGCUGAACCACCUUGAUGGCAAUCUCAAAGAAACCAGUGCUGUGGAGGUUUAAUAAGACAUGGGGGCCGCCAAAAACUCCUCCUGACCCCCAAAUCCUCACCUCUCUGGAGCUUGUAUACUCCUCCUCCCCAAGCAAAUAAAAUGCUGAUGAAAACGAGUUUCCUCCUGUGC
rnacentral:lncRNA from 1 species